AUAUUANACUAUCGAUUACAAUUGCGUUAAUGUAGACAGCAGCAACAAAAGAGAAACAUUAUACGUAAGGGGCAGGACCAGGGCCUUACCAGACAAGUACGCAAACGAAGUUGAGAAAAUUCUUCAAGAUAAUGGUCUCGGCAGUAUACAGAAAACAUACGUUCUACAGGACGUAGCAAGCUGCUUGCCAUAGGAUAACAGUAAAAUUUGUAUCAACGAAAUUGAUCAAAAAUAAAUCUGUUAGCAAUGUGAA
rnacentral:misc_RNA from 1 species